CAUUGGUUCCCUCGCAAUGAUAGGUUGUAAACCCCGCCAGGUCCGGAAGGAAGCAACGGUAGCAUCUGAUUCAUGUGCCGAGGUGUAGCUGAUGUUG
rnacentral:SRP_RNA from 1 species